rnacentral:rRNA from 1 species
UACGGAGGGGGCAAGCGUUGUUCGGAAUUACUGGGCGUAAAGGGCGCGUAGGCGGCCAGUUGCGUCGGGUGUGAAAGCCCCGGGCUCAACCUGGGAGGUGCACUUGAUACGGGCUGGCUGGAAUCCGGGAGAGGAUGGUGGAAUUCCCAGUGUAGAGGUGAAAUUCGUAGAUAUUGGGAAGAACACCGAUGGCGAAGGAAGCCAUCGGGACCGGGAUUGACGUUGAGGCGCGAAAGCGUGGGGAGCAAACAGG